rnacentral:rRNA from 1 species
UACGUAGGUCCCGAGUGUUGUCCGGAUUUAUUGGGCGUAAAGCGAGCGCAGGUGGUUUAUUAAGUCUGGUGUAAAAGGCAGUGGCUCAACCAUUGUAUGUAUUGGAAACUGGUAGACUUGAGUGCAGGAGAGGAGAGUGGAAUUCCAUGUGUAGCGGUGAAAUGCGUAGAUAUAUGGAGGAACACCGGUGGCGAAAGCGGCUCUCUGGCCUGUAACUGACACUGAGGCUCGAAAGCGUGGGGAGCAAACAGG